UAAAGAGGAGGAAGGAAUGGGCAACGGUAGGUCAGCACUGCCCCGAAUUAGUCUGGGCUACACGCGGGCUACAAUGGGUGGGACAAUGGGUAUCGACACCGAAAGGUGAAGGCAAUCUCCUAAACCCAUCCGUAGUUCGGAUUGUGGGCUGCAACUCGCCCACAUGAAGCUGGAAUCUAUAGUAAUCGUGUCUCAAAAUGGCACGGUGAAUAUGUCCCUGCUCCUU
rnacentral:rRNA from 1 species